rnacentral:lncRNA from 1 species
ACUCUCCCACCACGCACUUUUCGUAUCAUCCUAGAUCUGGAUGCCCUUCAUGGAACCUAAAAACCAGCGAGUCCCGGAAAGGCCUCAGGCAAUUGCCAAGCCGAUGGCCUUCUGCCACUUAGUUAAUGUGCACCUGGCAGCUUAGGUGGCCGCGGAGAAAGCAACUUUGGCUGCACCAAGGUCCGGCACAAGUCUGGAGAAGCUUCAGCCAGUUCCAGUGAGUUGGGAUAAAUGAAACGUGGAUCUACCAUAGACGUCUGUCCGUCUUACUGGAUAAGCGAGCACCUUUACCGGGGAAGUUAGGUAAUAGUUUACAAGUAAGGUUAAAAGCAGCACAGUGCCUGCGGCAGGGAACCAGUAAUGAGUUACAGCUGAGAAAUGGGUGCUUACUUUGACAGACGCGUAUGUGGGAUUGUGCUCCUGCUUUUAAUUGGAAGGUUAUUUAAUAGAAUAAUGUAACUAAACUUUCCAACAUAAAGAGCAGUUACCAAACAGAAGUAGAAUUAUUCGCUAACAGUUGGGUUGUCCAGGCACACUUGGCAGUGAGAGGAUAGCAUCUUUUUUCUUUUUAUCUGUAGUGCCAAACAGAACUUGGUAUAGAAGUACUUGCUAAAUCACUAUUGAAUUUAAUUGUCCCGCUUGUUAAAAUGCAGGCUCCAGAAGGUAUUUUCUUUCUUGUUCACUACUGUAUCUCCAGCUCAAAUAAAAAGUACAAAUAAAUUAAGAAUAUUAAUCACAUGUGAUAUCCUCAAGUGUUAAGUAUUUAAUAGCUGUAAAUCCAGUACCUGGAUUAGUAAACUGCAGUACUGGACCUUAGAUAACAAAUUCUGACGUUGGUCCCCUUGGUCUGAACCUUACAGUAUAGCUAUUACCAACAAUCUGGAAGCAGCCAUGGAGAUGAUUUGGCAAUAGAUGUAUUCCGUUGAUUAUUAGUUUGUGCCUUGAUAAAUUAAUUCCAGUUUUAAGUCUCAGGUUGGCCUGUGCAUUGGUGAAUAUGGGCAUCUUAGAUCCAUGGGCUUUCAGAGCUGGAGGGGAUGGUAGUGGGUCUGUAGCUGAAUCCCUAGAACCUGCAGACCCUAGAACCUGGUUUGAAUACUCACUCUGUCACUCACCAGCAGAGCAAUCAUGGGCCAGUGUCUCAACCUAUUUGAGCUUUCAUUUCCUCAUCUGCAAAACGCGUCUUGUUACAAUACCAACCUCUUACUAUCAAAUGAAUGAGGAAAGCGAGUAGAGUAUUCAGCACAGUAUCUGACACAUGUUGUUUUGGGGAUUAUUAUCAUUAUGACCAAAAAAGUACCCCAAUUUGAACAAUAGUCAGGGUAAGGCCAAGUUUUGGGGGAAUUUAGGUAAUGUCCAAUGACAUAACAUUUAAGAUUAGCAGAACUUAAAUUUUGUGGCAUUUGGGGGUAUUGUGCAUAUCCUGUUUGUUCAUUCAGUAGGUGCAUAUGUAUGCUUAAAGGGUGGACAAAACUGAAUGCCAUCUAGGUCAGAUGUGUGGUGAAGAUAGCAGCUGGAUGGGCAUCAGGAGAGGACUCUCUUUAUCCACUGCUACUGCCUGUGUGGCUGGGUUAAAUUAGGGAGUCUCAUGCCACCUGGGCUCUUGCUCUGUAAGAUAAAGUGGUCAGGAACAGAGGGACAAAAUGACACAUAAGGACCUUUGGCCCUAAACUUUUGUUAUCCUCUAUAUAUUUACCAUUUCAACCACAACCAAAAUCCUGUUAUAGUAAGGAUAUUUAUCGUCUUGUGGAACAAGAAGUCCAGAGGUAAGGC